GAAUUGUUUGCAGUUACUGUAACUAGGAUGAAACGCUAUGCGUUCCAGGGCACUGGCGUUUGGAAACUGUGGAAACACGUAAACACGAGCCUAUAAUUCGUUAAUCCGUUAAGGAAAAUGCAAAGUGUGAUGAAGACAGGAGAGAUGAAGAUGGCUUCGAUGAUCAAUCAGCGUACAUGAAGGUUACAACGUCCCACAGCCCUCCCACCAUCACAUUAACAAAUAAUGUCCGCAGAAAUACCGCACGAUAAAAGUUGCUCAAGACAAUGGACGGCAGUCAUCAUCCCGUCUGAAUCGGAACCCCCUCCCGACGGCAGAAACGCGGCCAUCCAGCCUCUGCUCGCUUCUCUGGACAGCUGCUUGAGAAUAAACGCCAACCCUUAUGUUCAGGGCAUUGCAGCUCGUGGCAUGGAAAACCAGAAGCUUCCUCGAGACCCUCAGGAAAAUAAUCCUAGCACAAGGCCGCUUCCUUUGCCUUAUGUGAACUGUCCCGUGGACCAGGGCCAGCGGCCGCUAGUGGUGGCCAGAGACAACCCGUCUUUCCAACAUACAAGGCUACAGACCGCACUUUUGCAGAGCCCUGGGCACCAGGACCUGUUAGUGCAGCAGCAUAUGGACCUCCUCCAAAGAGUGGUCCAGGAACAGAACAGACUUCUCACUCUGAUGAAUCCGGGUGAGUCCAGAAGCGCAGUAUGUCAAUCCAUUGGCAUCAUGACUAAUAUGUCAUUGACAGACGGCCUUAUUAUGCAUGUUUGUGACAGCUUAUGCUUAUAAAGCUCAAAAUAACUGUGAUACUGCAGUAUACUUAAACUCAAAGUCAAAAUGAGAAAUUAGAUGUGUUCAGCAAUAUGUAUUUUACGCCAUGCACUUCAUAUUGUUUAGUAUUGCACAUCAUCAUUGCAGAUGUGUUUUGAAAUGUACCUUGCCAAAAAAGAAGCAUAACUGGUUUGUUAAGUUGCAGGAUGAUUGGGAAGGAAAAAAAGUAGUUUCAUCCUUGCAUAAUAAUGAAGUACUUCUGAAAUUAUUGGGAAUAUUUUGUAAUACACAAGCGGGAAGUUACUAUUUUCCAAGGUUGUGAAACCAUCCGGUUUAUUGCUUCAUUAAAUAAAUGAGUUAAACCUAUCUGCAACUCAGAAUAUGCAAAUUUAUAUUCUGUAUUGAACAUGUUAAAGCGAAAACCUACACACAAAAACUAUGGCAACUUAACUGUGAGUGACCAGGAACAUUUCCGGUUACUAUACCUAUCUUAGGCGAAGCUACUGCAUACCUCAUUUGAAAGCUUAAACUGUAUACCUUUCUGUAGAAUCUGUGGUACAUUCAAAUAGUGGAAAAAGUCCAGCAAAUUAAUUGAUUUUCUCAGUACUCACAUGCCAUCGCAUGAUCCUAAAUCUGGGGAUCACUCUUUGUGUUAACUAUGUUAAACUGAUAUGUAUGUACCUUUAAUGAAUCAUUGUGCACAUUUCACUACAUAACCCCCUGGAAAAAUCAGAGAAUUAAAUUCCAAUGUCCUGCGCAAAAUUCCCUUCACCUGUUCUGACACUGCAGUGCCAAGUGCUGCUGCAUUGCCUAGUGCGAUAAUUUAAACCUGAGAAAAUGUACAAAGUAGGCCACCCUAAACUAUUCAUCAGAGCGGGAAACCAAGAUGAUCCAGAUAAUGCCAGAUGAUGCCAUCAGCAGGACCUUUCAGAUCUGUGUGACUUGGGGUUUAUGGGCAGGCAGAUCAGAAACAGAUGAGGGACUGUACAGAUUCCAAGGGAUAUCGCGUAAAGAUCGAGCGAUAACCUGUAGCACAACUUCAUUUCUCGGAGUUUGCAACGUACAUGUCAGCUGUAGAGUUUAUUGUUUUUAUUACCCUCACUGUCUUAUCUGUAUAACAGCGAAUAAAGUACAUUAGAAGGUGCAUAACUAAAGAACAUACUAAAGAACAGAGAAUAUCUACACACUAUAAAACAUAAAUAAGUAGCCUUGGAAUUCAUUUACUUUAGCUGUGAAACUGCCCCAGUGCUAAUAUGGGGCUUUCUUCAGUCUCGAUUUUAUACCUCGUAGCAAAAAAAAAAAAAAAAAAUU